CUCUUAUGAUGAUCGGUUUUUAAUUAUCAGUUCUGCUACUGAACAAUCAUGUGGAAAACUUCUACCAUGCUUACCUUUGUCUGAUAC
rnacentral:snoRNA from 1 species